rnacentral:rRNA from 1 species
ACUUUGAACACGGACCAAGGAGUUUUAACAUGUGUGCGAGUGAUUGGGUGGAAAACCCAAGAGCGUAAUGAAAGUGAAAGUUGGCUUUGGUCACCUUAUAUGGGAUCCUCAUACCCUCGUGGUUGAGGCGCACCAUAAUCCCGUCCCAUCUGCAUCGUCAGUGGGUCGGAGAUAGAGCGCAUAUGUUGAGACCCGAAAGAUGGUGAACUAUGCCUGAGCAGGAUGAAGCCAGAGGAAACUCUGGUGGAAGUCCAUAGCGGUUCUGACGUGCAAAUCGAUCGUCAGACUUGGGUAUAGGGGCGAAAGANUAAUCGAACCAUCUAGUAGCUGGUCUC